rnacentral:rRNA from 1 species
CAGCAGCCACGGGAAUACAGAGGGUGCAAGCGUUAAUCGGAUUUACUGGGCGUAAAGGGCGCGUAGGUGGUUAUUUAAGUGAGAUGUGAAAGCCCCGGGCUUAACCUGGGAACUGCAUCUUAUACUGGGUAACUGGAGUGCAGUAGAGGGUGGUGGAAUUUCCUGUGUAGCGGUGAAAUGCGUAGAUAUAGGAAGGAACACCAGUGGCGAAGGCGACCACCUGGGCUCAUACUGACACUGAGGUGCGAAAGCGUGGGGAGCAAACAGGAUUAGAGACCCCUGUAGUCCCUGUCUCUUAUAC